ACAGUAAACUUCCUACCGAUUUACUGCGAUCUCUGAGUGACCAUGUAGUGUCGCAGCCAGUGGAGUCUGUUCUACCAAACUUAACGCAUCACCUCAAAUUACUUUCCCUUGCAAUGAGAGGUUCAGAUAUACAACCUUCACCAACCAUGCGUUUUUUGAUUCAAAUCCUUGACAAAGCGGAUAUCGCCCGCAAGGGCGACUGGACUGUUGGAAAUUGUGUCCUAGCUGUGUGCUACAGUAUUCUUUUACAUCAUAAUUCGAGCUCAACAAUUACAGAACUUGGCAAUCUGUUGCUUUUUAUAUGUGCAACAUACCGGGACA